rnacentral:rRNA from 1 species
GGCCUUGACAUGCAGAGAACUUCAGAGAUGGAUUGGUGCCUUCGGGAACUACUGACACAGGUGCUGCAUGGCUGUCGUCAGCUCGUGUCGUGAGAUGUUGGGUUAAGUCCCGUAACGAGCGCAACCCUUGUCCUUAGUUACCAGCACGUUAUGGUGGGCACUCUAAGGAGACUGCCGGUGACAAACCGGAGGAAGGUGGGGAGUGACGUCAAGUCAUCAUGGCCCUUACCGGCCUGGGCUACACACGUGCUACAAUGGUCGGUACAAAGGGUUGCCAAGCCGCGAGGUGGAGCUAAUCCCAUAAAAACCGAAUCGUAGUCCGGAUCGCAGUCUGCAACUCGACUGCGUGAAGUCGGAAUCGCUAGUAAUCGUGAAUCAGAAUGUCACGGUGAAUACGUUCCCGGGCCUU